rnacentral:rRNA from 1 species
GGGGGAAAAAUUAAUAAAAUAAAAUUAAUAAAAUAAAUUUUUAAGUUAAAAAUAAAUAAUGGGGGUUAAAGUAUUUUUAAUAGAAAAAAUUUAAAAUUUUAUAGGGAAAUAAGUAUUGUAGGAGAAAUUUGAAAUAUAUUAAAAAUUAAUUAUAAAAAAAGAAAAUUUAAUUUAUUGUAUCUUGUGUAUCAGAGUUUAUUAAAUAGAAUUUUUAAAAAAAAAAAUCUCGAAUUUAAAAGAAUUAAUUAAUUAUAAAAGUUAAUGUUACAUAAUUAUUUUAAAUAAUUAAUUAGAAAUGAAAUGUUAAUCGUUUUUAAAUAUAUCUAGUUAUUUUAGAAAAAAAUUUAAUUUUAAAUUUAAAUAAUUUUAAAAUUUAAUAAAAAAAAUUAUAAAAAUUUAAAUUUAAUAUUUUAGGGGAUAAGCUUUAAAUUAAAAAUUUAUAAUAAAAAUUAAUAAAAAUUAAAAUUUUUAAAAUUUAUAUUGUUUAAAAAUUAUAAUUUAUUAUAAAAAAUUUUAAUAAAAAUAAAAUUUAAUAAAAAAAAAAUUUAAAUUUUUAUAAAAUAAUAAUUUUUAAUUAAAAAAAAUUAGUAAUAAUGAUAAAAUUAGUAUAAAUAAUAAAAAAAAAAUUAAAUGAAAAUUGAUGGUAAUUAAAAGGAAUUCGGCAAAUAAAAUAUUCACUUGUUUAUCAAAAACAUGUCUUUUUGAUUAUAAUUUAAAGUCUAAUCUGCCCACUGAUAAUUAUUGAAGGGCUGCAGUAUAUUGACUGUACAAAGGUAGCAUAAUCAUUAGUUUUUUAAUUGAAAACUUGUAUGAAGGAUUUGAUGAAAUAUAAACUGUCUCUUAAUUAUUAUUAAAAAUUUAUUUUUUAGUUAAAAAGCUAAAAUAAUUUUAAAAGACGAGAAGACCCUAUAGAGUUUUAUAUUUUAUUUAUUAUUAAAAUUAUAUAAAAAUUAAAAUUAAUAUUAAAUAAAAUAUUAUAUUGGGGUGAUAGAAAAAUUAAAUUAACUUUUUUUAAAAUUUAACCAUUGAUAAAUGAAUAAAUGAUCCAUUAGUAAUGAUUAUAAGAAAAAAUUACCUUAGGRAUAACAGCGUAAUAUUUUUUUUUAGUUCAUAUAAAAAAAAAAGUUUGCGACCUCGAUGUUGGAUUAAGAUAAAAUUUAAAUGCAAACGUUUAAAAUUUUGAUCUGUUCGAUCAUUAAAAUCUUACAUGAUCUGAGUUCAAACCGGUGUAAGCCAGGUUGGUUUCUAUCUUUAAAUAAAAAAAAAUAUUUUAGUACGAAAGGAUCAAAUAUUUAAAAUAAUUUUAUUAUUAGAAUAUUAUUAAUUAAUUUAUAAAUU